GCCAUGGGGCCCCAUCGUGCGCAUCGCCGCUCCCUCUGCGGCCAGAAUGUCCGCGGCGACGCCCCUUUCUACCUGGCCACCUUCGGUCAGCUGAAGCUGUCAAUUGAAGCCCAGAACAGAGUUCUGCUUCUUCAUGUUAUUGAAGCCAAAGACCUAAUGGUGGGAAGCCCUCAGCCCUGUGCCGUGUAUGUGAAGAUGUCACUGGCACCUGACGGCGACCCCAAGGCCCGGCAGAAGACGCAGACCAUUACCGACAGCAGGAACCCUGGCUUUCACGAGCAUUUUCUCUUCCCAGUCCAAGAGAAAGAUGAGCAGAAGCGUCUCCUGGUUGCAGUUUGGAACAGAGAGAGGGAAUCGAG